rnacentral:rRNA from 1 species
CGAAGGGGGCAAGCGUUGUUCGGAAUUACUGGGCGUAAAGGGCGCGUAGGCGGCUUAUCAAGUCAGGCGUGAAAUUCCCGGGCUCAACCUGGGGGCUGCGUUUGAUACUGAUGAGCUUGAAUGCGGGAGAGGAUGGUGGAAUUCCCAGUGUAGAGGUGAAAUUCGUAGAUAUUGGGAAGAACACCGGUGGCGAAGGCGGCCAUCUGGCCCGUGAUUGACGCUGAGGCGCGAAAGCGUGGGGGAGCAAACAGGAUUAGAUACCCUGGUAGUCCACGCCGUAAACGAUGAAUGCUAGACGUUGGCGAGCAUGCUCGUCAGUGUCGGAGCUAACGCAUUAAGCAUUCCGCCUGGGGAGUACGGUCGCAAGAUUA